GACGAACGCUGGCGGCGUGCCUAAUACAUGCAAGUAGAACGCUGAAGGAGGAGCUUGCUUCUCUGGAUGAGUUGCGAACGGGUGAGUAACGCGUAGGUAACCUGCCUGGUAGCGGGGGAUAACUAUUGGAAACGAUAGCUAAUACCGCAUAAGAGUAGAUGUUGCAUGACAUUUGCUUAAAAGGUGCAAUUGCAUCACUACCAGAUGGACCUGCGUUGUAUUAGCUAGUUGGUGGGGUAACGGCUUACCAAGGCGACGAUACAUAGCCGACCUGAGAGGGUGGUCGGCCACACUGGGACUGAGACACGGCCCAGACUGAUACGGGAGGCAGCAGUAGGGAAACGUCGGCAAUGGACGGAAGUCUGACCGAGCAACGCCGCGUGAGUGAAGAAGGUUUUCGGAUCGUAAAGCUCUGUUGUAAGAGAAGAACGAGUGUGAGAGUGGAAAGUUCACACUGUGACGGUAUCUUACCAGAAAGGGACGGCUAACUACGUG
rnacentral:rRNA from 1 species